CCGUUCACACCGCUGAGCUUACCACCCACGGGGCUCUGGUCAGACGUGGUGGCCUAUAUAGGGAGUAGGGUGGGGUGGGGGGUCACAUCUCUUGCUUUAGCUCCAGACAGCUGUUGAUCCAUCUGGGCCUGAGGGUGGGUUGCACCAACAUGGUUUAAAUUCAUCUGCGAUUAGAGCUGAUCUAGGUUUUGUAAAUCUAGUUUAAUAAUUCAUCAGAGAUGUGUUGCACCUCUUAAUUCUAAGUCUGGAUCAGUAACUCUGUGAUUUAGCGGUUUAAAACUGUGUGACAGGUUCGUGUUACCACUAUGUGGAGGUAGGGUUAGCUGUGUGACAGGUUCGUGUUACCACUAUGUGGAGGUAGGGUUAGGGUUAGCUGUGUGACAGGUUCGUGUUACCAGUAUGUGGAGGUAGGGUUAGGGUUAGCUGUGUGACAGGUUCGUGUUACCACUAUGUGGAGGUAUGGUUAGCUGUGUGACAGGUUCGUGUUACCACUAUGUGGAGGUAGGGUUAGGGUUAGCUGUGUGACAGGUUCGUGACACCACUAUGUGGAGGUAGGGUUAGGGUUAGCUGUGUGACAGGUUCGUGUUACCACUAUGUGGAGGUAGGGGUAGGGUUAGCUGUGUGACAGGUUCGUGUUACCAGUAUGUGGAGGUAGGGUUAGGGUUAGCUGUGUGACAGGUUCGUGUUACCACUAUGUGGAGGUAGGGUUAGGGUUAGCUGUGUGACAGGUUCGUGUUACCACUAUGUGGAGUUAGGGUUAGCUGUGUGACAGGUUCGUGUUACCACUAUGUGGAGGUAGGGGUAGGGUUAGCUGUGUGACAGGUUCGUGUUACCACUAUGUGGAGGUAGGGUUAGCUGUGUGACAGGUUCGUGUUACCACUAUGUGGAGGUAGGGUUAGGGUUAGCUGUGUGACAGGUUCGUGUUACCACUAUGUGGAGGUAGGGUUAGCUGUGUGACAGGUUCGUGUUACCACUAUGUGGAGGUAGGGUUAGGGUUAGCUGUGUGACAGGUUGGUGUUACCAGUAUGUGGAGGUAGGGGUAGGGUUAGCUGUGUGACAGGUUCGUGUUACCACUAUGUGGAGGUAGGGUUAGGGUUAGCUGUGUGACAGGUUCGUGUUACCACUAUGUGGAGGUAGGGGUAGGGUUAGCUGUGUGACAGGUUCGUGUUACCACUAUGUGGAGGUAGGGUUAGCUGUGUGACAGGUUCGUGUUACCACUAUGUGGAGGUAGGGUUAGGGUUAGCUGUGUGACAGGUUCGUGUUACCACUAUGUGGAGGUAGGGUUAGGAUUAGCUGUGUGACAGGUUCGUGUUACCACUAUGUGGAGGUAGGGGUAGGGUUAGCUGUGUGACAGGUUCGUGUUACCACUAUGUGGAGGUAGGGUUAGGGUUAGCUGUGUGACAGGUUCGUGUUACCACUAUGUGGAGGUCGGGUUAGCUGUGUGACAGGUUCGUGUUACCACUACGUGGAGGUAGGGUUAGGGUUAGCUGUGUGACAGGUUGGUGUUACCACUAUGUGGGGUUAGGGUUAGCUGUGUGACAGGUUCGUGUUACCACUAUGUGGAGGUAGGGUUAGCUGUGUGACAGGUUCGUGUUACCACUAUGUGGGGUUAGGGUUAGCUGUGUGACAGGUUCGUGUUACCACUAUGUGGAGGUAGGGUUAGCUGUGUGACAGGUUCGUGUUACCACUAUGUGGAGGUAGGGUUAGCUGUGUGACAGGUUCGUGUUACCACUAUGUGGAGGUAGGGUUAGGGUUAGCUGUGUGACAGGUUCGUGUUACCACUAUGUGGAGGUAGGGUUAGCUGUGUGACAGGUUCGUGUUACCACUAUGUGGAGGUAGGGUUAGGGUUAGCUGUGUGACAGGUUCGUGUUACCACUAUGUGGAGGUAGGGUUAGCUGUGUGACGGGUUCGUGUUACCACUAUGUGGAGGUAGGGUUAGCUGUGUGACAGGUUCGUGUUACCACUAUGUGGAGGUAGGGUUAGCUGUGUGACAGGUUGGUGUUACCAGUAUGUGGAGGUAGGGUUAGGGUUAGCUGUGUGACAGGUUCGUGUUACCACUAUGUGGAGGUAGGGUUAGGGUUAGCUGUGUGACAGGUUCGUGUUACCACUAUGUGGAGGUAGGGUUAGCUGUGUGACAGGUUCGUGUUACCACUAUGUGGAGGUAGGGUUAGGGUUAGCUGUGUGACAGGUUCGUGUUACCACUAUGUGGAGGUAGGGUUAGGGUUAGCUGUGUGACAGGUUCGUGUUACCACUAUGUGGAGGUAGGGUUAGCUGUGUGACAGGUUCGUGUUACCACUAUGUGGAGGUAGGGUUAGGGUUAGCUGUGUGACAGGUUCGUGUUACCACUAUGUGGAGGUAGGGUUAGGGUUAGCUGUGUGACAGGUUCGUGUUACCACUAUGUGGAGGUAGGGUUAGGGUUAGCUGUGUGACAGGUUCGUGUUACCACUAUGUGGAGGUAGGGUUAGGGUUAGCUGUGUGACAGGUUCGUGUUACCACUAUGUGGAGGUAGGGUUAGCUGUGUGACAGGUUCGUGUUACCACUAUGUGGAGGUAGGGUUAGGGUUAGCUGUGUGACAGGUUCGUGUUACCACUAUGUGGAGGUAGGGUUAGGGUUAGCUGUGUGACAGGUUCGUGUUACCACUAUGUGGAGGUAGGGUUAGCUGUGUGACAGGUUCGUGUUACCACUAUGUGGAGGUAGGGUUAGCUGUGUGACAGGUUCGUGUUACCACUAUGUGGAGGUAGGGUUAGCUGUGUGACAGGUUCGUGUUACCACUAUGUGGAGGUAGGGUUAGGGUUAGCUGUGUGACAGGUUCGUGUUACCACUAUGUGGAGGUAGGGUUAGGGUUAGCUAGUCUACUUGACAAAUGAGACCAUGAGGUUUCUGUUCUUGGAUAAAAUAAUGACAAUGUAACGUUGAAACUACUGCAUCGGUCAAGGUUGGUUGGUUUGAAAUUAAAUCUGCUACCUGCCAGUACUAGACA